UGAUAGGUAAUCUUGUCAACCUGACACACCUGGGAAGAGGACGCCUCAGUUGAAGAACUGACUGAAUCCAAGAAGCCUGUGGUCAUAUCUGUGGGGCGUGUUCUUGAUUGCUAAUGGACAGGGGAGGCCCAGCACCUGUGAGCAGCAGCAACCCUACCUCCAGGAGGGCUGGUGCAAGGACUAGAGGUGUGUGUCACCACUGCCUGACAGUGGCAUUGGUUGGGGCAGCAUGAAAGCUGAAGAACCGAAAGCAUUGUGGAGAUGAAGCUUGGCGUCAUGAGGAGUUGAAAUCCGGGAAGAGAAGCCAUAGAAGGCCGCUGAUGAAGGUGCAACCCCAGCUACAGAGGAGACCUCAGAUUACUGGAGAUUCCAGGACUUUGGAGCAACAGCCAAGGACAGUGGCAGUUGUGGAAUGAAGCCCGCCAGGAUGUAUUACACGAGCAGUGUGCUGCGGGCAGUAGAGCCAGAGAAAUGGGACUUCCAGAUCCUUGGGAUCUCAGAAGAUCAAGAAUGAGUCCUAAAUUGUGGACCUGGAAUUAUUUUAAGACUUUGUUUUUGCUUUGAUCUGAUUGUACCUGUGCCCUGGUUCUCUCUUCAAAUAAAAAUGUAUAUAAUCUG
rnacentral:lncRNA from 1 species